rnacentral:sRNA from 1 species
CUUGCACAAGACUUCAGAUAAGGCCACAAUUAUGGGAGCUGGAAAGAAUCUGGCUCCCUUACCACCAGUGGAUCCUUUCCCCUGCCUUACAGGCAUGCACAUGCUCUCUCUGUAGGUAAAAAGUACAGCAUCUGGCUUAGCUUCAGGUACUUCCAGUUUUCUAAAGACCAGUUCUUUGAAUGCUUUUUGUUACUUAGGUAAGCUCCAUCAACUGUAAAAUAAGUAUUGGUGGAUUUAUGGAUUUCAAAAGGCAGAACAACUAACAUACUGAAUUCCUGAUUCCAGUCUGUGUUCUACUGGAGUUGUCAGAAUGCCGAAUGCUAACACAAACAGUGCUUUUUUCUUCUAAAAGGAGGAAAGAGGGUGGGAAUGAGAGGAUGAAUUCCUAUCAGUUUAGGAGGAUGUUGCCAUUGAGAGUUCUUGCGUAAUUUGAGAUUGUAAAACCUAGAAGGUUUCUUGUCUUUGUUAUGUAGGAGGAAACAGGAAUUCUUGGUUUAAUUUAGGCUGGGCCUGGGAGGAGUUUGCUGUUUACAAUGAGAUCUAACCCCUUAUUGGAGAUGAUUUUAAAAAUCUUUGGCCACCUCUAUGGCCAUCUUUGGCAAGAUCUGUGUUUGGAAUUUAAUAGCAACCGCAUUUAUUAAAGCAAAGAAAUUUCCCUCAUUUGUCAUCCCAUGUAGUCUGGUAGUAUUUGAUAUGCAGGGACAUUUUUAGCCUUUUGUCCCUCCCGGGUAUCCCUGGGUUUUCUCAGAAUCCUUCACAAUCAUCCUUGCAAGAAUUACAGCAUAAUGCGGCUGCACAGUCAGCAUUGUUACAGCAGGUCCAUUCAGCUUCGGCUCUGGAAAGCUAUCCAGCUCAGCCUGAUGGGUUUCCUAGUUAUCCUUCAGCGCCAGGAACACCAUUUUCUUUGCAACCAAGCCUGUCCCAAAGUGGGUGGCAGUGAAUACUUUUAACUUUUAUUCUCCUUCAGAGCAACAUCAGAAUUGCCUAAGAACUGCAGUGAACAAUCUGACACAUGUGAAGCUGGCCAAAAGUCGGAAAAUGAGAAUGAGGGUAAUCCUGGAGAAAUUGUGACAACAAUUUGAAAAUUGUGGUUGCAUUUUAAAGUAUGAACACUCCCCUAUGUAAAUAUGCUGACAAUAAAUUGUAUGGAGAAUGGUAUUUAAAAAGUGUUUGGAGACUUUUCACCUGUCCUAUAAAAUUUUGAAUUGUGUAUGUGAUCUACAUAGAAAGAAUAUUAAAGAGUAGAUUGAACUCUUUAUAGCCAAAUACAGCCUUAAAUAUGCUUGUAUAGCAUCCACUGGCAGAAGUAAUAGUUGUGCCUCAGACUUGGGGGUUGCAUGUGGUCCUGGGGGAGUUACUACCCUUGGUAUGCAUGAGCGGUUCCUAUUAGCAUCAGUGGGAACUCAGUACUCUAUAUGUAUCCACAAAAGGGAACUUGAGACCCACAGUUAUUCUUAAUUUCUGAUAUUAACAACCAUACGUACUGCUGAAUUUAACUCAAAAUAUUUCAGGUAAGUGAAAGUGGUGCUUAACGUAGACUAUAGAAUGACUUUCAGGUGUUUUCAACUGAAAGUAUAUAUCCAGAACUGAAUCCUUAUAGAAAUACAAGUAAGACUUAGGAUAAUUUGCCUUCAAAAGUUUUCCUAAUCUCAGCAGUAUCCAGUGAGUGAAGAACACUUGACUGACUCUUGGGCCACCUCUAUUACUUACUGUACUAUGGAAGCUCCUGGUGAAUGUUUACAAUUAUGGGAUGUAGUAUUUCUAUUUGUACUUUAAGUCAAAUGCUUAUAUGAAAUAUGUGACAACAAAUAGAGAAGACUGACUCUGUUAGUAAUUAUGCAGUAUGUACUCUAUUUAAGGAUCUGUGGUAGUAUAACAUGAGUGAAUGUCAUUAAUUUUGGAGUAAUAACUGCCACAUGUGGGAAGUAGGGGAGUAAGGAGAAUGAAUUCCAAUCUGUGAUUAAAAGUGUAAACUAUAGACUCUACUGUAGUACAUUUCAGGAUCUAGAAGUUUUACUUUUAUAAAGAUGGUGUCCGGAAGAUGUUGCUAAUGUAUUUUACUUCAACAUAGGGAACAAACUUUUUAAGUAUAUUAAUAAACCUGUAUGGUUAGUUUUUAACAGUUUUUUAAAAUAAACUUUAUGGAUAUGAC